GAGGGUAUAGCUCAGUGGUAGAAUGUGUGUUUAGCAUGCACAAGGUCCUGGGUUCAAUCCCCACUACCUCCA
rfam:Camelus ferus unplaced genomic scaffold scaffold595, whole genome shotgun sequence.